rfam:Camelus ferus unplaced genomic scaffold scaffold206, whole genome shotgun sequence.
AAGGGUAUAGCUUAAGUGGCAGAGUGCAUGCUUAGCAUGCACGAAGUCCUGGGUUCAAUCCCCAGUACCUCCU